GCCUCCGUAGCUCAACUGGACAGAGCAUCGGAUUUCUAAUCCGAGGGUUGCAAGUUCGAGUCUUGCCGGAGGCA
rnacentral:tRNA from 1 species